UGCAUUAGCUAGUUGGUAAGGUAACGGCUUACCAAGGCGAUGAUGCAUAGCCGAGUUGAGAGACUGAUCGGCCACAAUGGAACUGAGACACGGUCCAUACUCCUACGGGAGGCAGCAGUAGGGAAUCUUCCACAAUGGGCGCAAGCCUGAUGGAGCAACACCGCGUGAGUGAAGAAGGGUUUCGGCUCGUAAAGCUCUGUUGUUGGAGAAGAACGUGCGUGAGAGUAACUGUUCACGCAGUGACGGUAUCCAACCAGAAAGUCACGGCUAACUACGUGCCAGCAGCCGCGGUAAUACGUAGGUGGCAAGCGUUAUCCGGAUUUAUUGGGCGUAAAGCGAGCGCAGGCGGUUGCUUAGGUCUGAUGUGAAAGCCUUCGGCUUAACCGAAGAAGUGCAUCGGAAACCGGGCGACUUGAGUGCAGAAGAGGACAGUGGAACUCCAUGUGUAGCGGUGGAAUGCGUAGAUAUAUGGAAGAACACCAGUGGCGAAGGCGGCUGUCUGGUCUGCAACUGACGCUGAGGCUCGAAAGCAUGGGUAGCGAACAGGAUUAGAUACCCUGGUAGUCCAUGCCGUAAACG
rnacentral:rRNA from 1 species